GAGAGAGUUAGACUCGGUACCAUGGAGAAUGUCGGUAUAGUUGAUCAUUGCUCUCCGUCUAUUUUUCAUCCAGAUGGGGAACCUCAAAAUUCACCAGGAGAGACUGGCGUAUCCAAUGUAGAGGACAAUGAAUCUGAACACCCACUCGUGCAUUAUCCAAAAAGCAAGGCUGUGAAAUCUGGACGUCAAAAUGAAAGAAGAGCUAGAAGAGCAAAGGCAGCACAGAAGAGUGCUGCUAAUGUGAUUCCGGUAAAAUCAAUAUCAUAUACUAGGAAAAAACGU
rnacentral:misc_RNA from 1 species